CGGUCCAGACUCCUACGGGAGGCAGCAGUAGGGAAUCUUCCGCAAUGGGCGAAAGCCUGACGGAGCAACGCCGCGUGAGUGAUGAAGGUCUUCGGAUCGUAAACUCUGUUAUCAGGGAAGAACAAUGUGUAAGUAACUCGUGCACAUCUGACGGUACCUCGAUCAGAAAGCCACGGCUAACUACGUGCCAGCAGCCGCGGUAA
rnacentral:rRNA from 1 species